rnacentral:rRNA from 1 species
GUCUACAGCAUGCCACCCUGAACACGCCUGAUCCUGUCUGAUCUCGGAAGCUAAGCAGGGUCAAGCCUGGUUAGUACAUGGAUGGGAGACCGACCACCUAGGAAGACCAAGUGCUGUAGGCG